rnacentral:tRNA from 1 species
CCGCCUAUAGCUCAGUUGGUAGAGCGCGAAGCUUAUACCUUCGUGGUCCCAGGUUCGAGUCCUGGUGGGCGGACCA